rnacentral:rRNA from 1 species
AUCUGUGGCCAUACUACCCUGCAAGCACCCAAUCUCAUCUUACCUUGGAAGUCAAGCAGGGUCAGGCCUGGUUAGUACUUGGAUAGGAGACUGCCUGGGAAUACCGGGUGCUGUAGGCG